AUUGAACGCUGGCGGCAGGCCUAACACAUGCAAGUCGAACGAGUGGCGGACGGGUGAGUAAUGUCUGGGAAACUGCCCGAUGGAGGGGGAUAACUACUGGAAACGGUAGCUAAUACCGCAUACCAUCAGAUGAACCCAGAUGGGAUUAGCUAGUUGGUGGGGUAACGGCUCACCAAGGCGACGAUCCCUAGCUGGUCUGAGAGGAUGACCAGCCACACUGGAACGGAGCCACGGCCCAGACUCCUACGGUAGGCAGCAGUGGGGAAUAUUGCACAAUGGGCGCAAGCCUGAUGCAGCCAUGCCGCGUGUAGGAAGAAGGCCUUCGGGUUGUAAAGUACUUUCAGCGGGGAGGCGUUACCCGCAGAAGAAGCACCGGCUAACUCCGUGCCAGCAGCCGCGGUAAUUC
rnacentral:rRNA from 1 species